rnacentral:rRNA from 1 species
UACGUAGGGGGCUAGCGUUGUCCGGAUUUAUUGGGCGUAAAGAGCGUGUAGGCGGCCAGGUAGGUCUGCUGUGAAAACUCGAGGCUCAACCUCGAGACGUCGGCGGAAACCAUCUGGCUAGAGUCCGGAAGAGGAGAGUGGAAUUCCUGGUGUAGCGGUGAAAUGCGCAGAUAUCAGGAAGAACACCGAUGGCGAAGGCAGAUCUCUGGGCCGUAACUGACGCUGAGGAGCGAAAGCGUGGGGAGCGAACAGG